rnacentral:rRNA from 1 species
GACGAACGCUGGCGGCGUGCCUAAUACAUGCAAGUAGAACGCACAGUUUAUACCGUAGCUUGCUACACCAUAGACUGUGAGUUGCGAACGGGUGAGUAACGCGUAGGUAACCUGCCUGGUAGCGGGGGAUAACUAUUGGAAACGAUAGCUAAUACCGCAUAAUAUUAAUUAUUGCAUGAUAAUUGAUUGAAAGAUGCAACUGCAUCACUACCAGAUGGACCUGCGUUGUAUUAGCUAGUAGGUGAGGUAACGGCUCACCUAGGCGACGAUACAUAGCCGACCUGAGAGGGUGAUCGGCCACACUGGGACUGAGACACGGCCCAGACUCCUACGGGAGGCAGCAGUAGGGAAUCUUCGGCAAUGGACGAAAGUCUGACCGAGCAACGCCGCGUGAGUGAAGAAGGUUUUCGGAUCGUAAGGCUCUGUUGUAAGAGAAGAACGGGUGUGAGAGUGGAAAGUUCACACUGUGACGGUAUCUUACCAGAAAGGGACGGCUAACUACGUG